UACGUAGGGGGCAAGCGUUGUCCGGAUUUACUGGGCGUAAAGCGCGCGUAGGCGGAACGUUAAGUCCGGUCUGAAAGCCCCCGGCUCAACCGGGGAGGGUGGCUGGAACUGGCGUUCUUGAGGGCGAGAGAGGAGGGUGGAAUUCCUGGUGUAGGCGGUGAAAUGCGUAGAGAUCAGGAGGAACACCCGUGGCGAAGGCAGCGUUCUGGGAAGCAACUGACGCUCGAUGUGCGAAAGCCAGGGGAGCGAACGGG
rnacentral:rRNA from 1 species